CUCCUAAAUGUCCUAGGCUGCACGCGCACUACACUGACGCAUUAAACGAGUUUGAUUGCCAUUUGGCAACCUAUCUUGAAGAGGAUGGGAAAUCUUUUGAACUUGCGUCGUGAUGAGGAUCGAUGAUUGCAAUUAUUCUCCUUGAAUGAGGAAUGCCUAGUAGGCGCAAGUCAUCAGCUUGCACUGAUUACGUCCCUGCCAUUUGUACACACCGCCCGUCGUUGCUACCGAUUGGCUGUGAAAUAGAGCUUGGGGGAGGUUGUUCCUUUGUGGCGACACUCUGGACGUUCCGAAUCCAAGCAAUAUUUCUCAGCUAGAGGAAGCAAAAGUCGUAACA
rnacentral:rRNA from 1 species